UAACCAGCAAACCCUUCGAAA
rnacentral:piRNA from 1 species